AACAUACAGUAAUUACCUGUGACACCCAUGGUGCACUGUGAGCAGGUAUACAGGCCCACAGAGCAUGCAGAUAAUUAUCUGUGACACCCAUGGUGCACUGUGAGCAGGUAUACAGGCCCACAGAGCAUGCAGAUAAUUAUCUGUGACACCCAUGGUGCACUGUGAGCAGGUAUACAGGCCCACAGAGCAUGCAGAUAAUUAUCUGUGACACUCAUUGUACACUUUGAGGAGGUAUACAGGCCCACAGAGCAUGCAGAUAAUUAUCUGUGACACCCAUGGUGCACUGUGAGCAGGUAUACAGGCCCACAGAGCAUGCAGAUAAUUAUCUGUGACACUCAUUGUAUACUGUGAGGAGGUAUACAGGCCCACAGAGCAUGCAGAUAAUUAUCUGUGACACCCAUGGUGCACUGUGAGCAGGUAUACAGGCCCACAGAGCAUGCAGAUAAUUAUCUGUGACACUCAUUGUACACUGUGAGGAGGUAUACAGGCCCACAGAGCAUGCAGAUAAUUAUCUGUGACACCCAUGGUGCACUGUGAGCAGGUAUACAGGCCCACAGAGCAUGCAGAUAAUUAUCUGUGACACUCAUUGUACACUGUGAGGAGGUAUACAGGCCCACAGAGCAUGCAGAUAAUUAUCUGUGACACCCAUGGUGCACUGUGAGCAGGUAUACAGUCCCACAGAGCAUGCAGAUAAUUAUCUGUGACACCCAUGGUGCACUGUGAGCUGGUAUACAGGCCAACAGAGCAUGCAGAUAAUUACCUGUGACACCCAUGGUGCACUGUGAGCUGGUAUACAGGCCAACAGAGCAUGCAGAUAAUUACCUGUGACACCCAUGGUGCACUGUGAGCAGGUAUACAGGCCAACAGAGCAUGCAGAUAAUUAUCUGUGACACCCAUGGUGCACUGUGAGCAGGUAUACAGGCCAACAGAGCAUGCAGAUAAUUAUCUGUGACACCCAUGGUGCACUGUGAGCAGGUAUACAGGCCAACAGAGCAUGCAGAUAAUUACCUGUGACACCCAUGGUGCACUGUGAGCAGGUAUACAGGCCAACAGAGCAUGCAGAUAAUUAUCUGUGACACCCAUGGUGCACUGUAAGCAGGUAUACAGGCCAACAGAGCAUGCAGAUAAUUACCUGUGACACCCAUGGUGCACUGUGAGCUGGUAUACAGUCCCACAGAGCAUACAGAUAAUUAUCUGUGACACCCAUGGUGCACUGUGAGCAGGUAUACAGGCCAACAGAGCAUGCAGAUAAUUACCUGUGACACCCAUGGUGCACUGUGAGCAGGUAUACAGGCCAACAGAGCAUGCAGAUAAUUAUCUGUGACACCCAUGGUGCACUGUGAGCAGGUAUACAGGCCAACAGAGCAUGCAGAUAAUUAUCUGUGACACCCAUGGUGCACUGUGAGCAGGUAUACAGGCCAACAGAGCAUGCAGAUAAUUAUCUGUGACACCCAUUGUACACUGUGAGCAGGUAUACAGGCCAACAGAGCAUGCAGAUAAUUACCUGUGACACCCAUGGUGCACUGUGAGCAGGUAUACAGGCCAACAGAGCAUGCAGAUAAUUACCUGUGACACCCAUGGUGCACUGUGAGCAGGUAUACAGGCCCACAGAGCAUGAAGAUAAUUAUCUAUGGCACCCAUAGUGCACUGUGAGCAGGUAUACAGGCCAACAGAGCAUGCAGAUAAUUAUCUGUGACACCCAUGGUGCACUGUGAGCAGGUAUACAGGCCAACAGAGCAUGCAGAUAAUUACCUGUGACACCCAUGGUGCACUGUGAGCAGGUAUACAGGCCCACAGAGCAUGCAGAUAAUUAUCUGUGACACCCAUGGUGCACUGUGAGCAGGUAUACAGGCCAACAGAGCAUGCAGAUAAUUAUCUGUGACACCCAUGGUGUACUGU